AUUAAAUAUUCUUAUUUUAAAUAUAUAUAUUAUUAUUAUGAUAUUAUAAAUUUAAUUUAUUAAAGGUAAUUUAAAAAUAAUAUAUUUUAUAAGUAAAUUUUUUAUAAAAUUUUUAAAAAAAAAUUAUUUUAAAAUAAAAUAUAAGGGGUAUUUUAUUUAAAAGUAAUUUUGGGUAGAGGAUUAAACUAUUAAAUAUUCUUAUUUUAAAUAUAUACAUUAUUAUUAUAAUAUUAUAAAUUUAAUUUAUUAAAGGUAAUUUAAAAAUAAUAUAUUUUAUAAGUAAAUUUUUUAUAAAAUUUUUAAAAAAAAUUAUUUUAAAAUAAAAUAUAAGGGGUAUUUUAUUUAAAAGUAAUUUUGGGUAGAGGAUUAAACUAUUAAAUAUUCUUAUUUUAAAUAUAUACAUUAUUAUUAUGAUAUUAUAAAUUUAAUUUAUUAAAGGUAAUUUAAAAAUAAUAUAUUUUAUAAGUAAAUUUUUUAUAUAAUUUUUAAAAAAAAAUUAUUUUAAAAUAAAAUAUAAGGGGUAUUUUAUUUAAAAGUAAUUUUGGAUAGAGGAUUAAACUAUUAAAUAUUCUCAUUUUAAAUAUAUACAUCAUUAUUAUGAUAUUAUAAAUUUAAUUUAUUAAAGGUAAUUUAAAAAUAAUAUAUUUUAUAAGUAAAUUUUUUAUAUAAUUUUUAAAAAAAAUUAUUUUAAAAUAAAAUAUAAGGGGUAUUUUAUUUAAAAGUAAUUUUGGAUAGAGGAUUAAACUAUUAAAUAUUCUUAUUUUAAAUAUAUACAUCAUUAUUAUGAUAUUAUAAAUUUAAUUUAUUAAAGGUAAUUUAAAAAUAAUAUAUUUUAUAAGUAAAUUUUUUAUAUAAUUUUUAAAAAAAAAUUAUUUUAAAAUAAAAUAUAAGGGGUAUUUUAUUUAAAAGUAAUUUUGGAUAGAGGAUUAAACUAUUAAAUAUUCUUAUUUUAAAUAUAUAUAUUAUUAUUAUGAUAUUAUAAA